rnacentral:rRNA from 1 species
GAUGAACGCUAGCGGCAGGCUUAACACAUGCAAGUCGAGGGGCAGCGCGAUGUAGCAAUACAUUGGCGGCGACCGGCGCACGGGUGCGUAACACGUAUGCUACCUUCCUCUUACUGGGGCAUAGCCCGGAGAAAUCCGGAUUAAUACCCCAUAAUACCUUGAAGGGCAUUCUUCGGGGUUGAAAGUCACAACGGUAAGAGAUGGGCAUGCGCACGAUUAGCAGUUGGUGAGGUAAUGGCUCACCAAGGCUACGAUCGUUAGGGGGCCUGAGAGGGUUAUCCCCCACACUGGUACUGAGACACGGACCAGACUCCUACGGGAGGCAGCAGUGAGGAAUACUGCGCAAUGGAGGCAACUCUGACGCAGCCAUGCCGCGUGC